rnacentral:rRNA from 1 species
AUUGAACGCUGGCGGCAGGCCUAACACAUGCAAGUCGAACGAGUGGCGGACGGGUGAGUAAUGUCUGGGAAACUGCCUGAUGGAGGGGGAUAACUACUGGAAACGGUAGCUAAUACCGCAUACCAUCAGAUGUGCCCAGAUGGGAUUAGCUAGUUGGGGGGGUAACGGCUCACCAAGGCGACGAUCCCUAGCUGGUCUGAGAGGAUGACCAGCCAAACUGGAACGGGGAAAAGGCUCAGAAUCCCACGGGAGGGAGGAGUGGGGGAUAUUGCACAAUGGGGGCAAGCCUGAGUCAGCCAUGCCGGGGUGAUGAAGAAGGCCUUCGGGUUGUAAAGUACUUUCAGCGGGGAGGCGUUACCCGCAGAAGAAGCACCGGCUAACUCCGUGCCAGCAGCCGCGGUAAUUC